UCUGCUGAAGUCAAGGAGCCCAGCGUGCCUGGGAAAUGUGAAAGGACCAAGACAACUUAGGGGUGGCUGAAGCUGUUGUUCCCCAUGUCCUCUGAGAUGUGGAAUUUAAUUGGAGCUGACAGAUGAACCUACCAUGUCAGGAGACAGCUGCCUUGGGUCUGCCUAGAAGGAAUGAUGAACUGGAGGGAUUCCAUGUGAACUAGAACAACCUCCAGGAAGUGAUGCAGAGUGAAAGGAGCAGAACCAGGAAAACAUUGUACACAGAGACUGAUACACUGUGGCACAAUCAAAUGUAAUGGACUUCUCUGCUAGCAGCAAUGCAAUGAUCCAGGACCACUCUGAGGGACUUGUGUGAAAGAAACUAUCCACAUCCAGAAAAAGAACUGGGAGUAGAAACACAGAAGAAAAACAACUGCUUGACAUGGUUCGAUGGGGAUAUGAUUGGGAAUGUAGGCUCUAAAUGAUCACCCUAGUGCAAAUAUCAAUAAUAUGGAAAUAGGUUUUGAUCAAUAAUACAUGUAAAACCCAGUGGAAUUGCUCAUUAGCUACUGGGGUAGAAGGGUGAGGAGGAGAGGGAAAGAGCAUGAAUCAUGGAAUCAUGGAAAAUUUUUCUUAAUUAAUCAAUUAAAUAAAAUUUU
rnacentral:lncRNA from 1 species